rnacentral:rRNA from 1 species
GUAGGGCGGGACACGUGGUAUCCUGUCUGAAUAUGGGGGGACCAUCCUCCAAGGCUAAAUACUCCUGACUGACCGAUAGUGAACCAGUACCGUGAGGGAAAGGCGAAAAGAACCCCGGCGAGGGGAGUGAAAAAGAACCUGAAACCGUGUACGUACAAGCAGUGGGAGCACGCUUAGGCGUGUGACUGCGUACCUUUUGUAUAAUGGGUCAGCGACUUAUAUUCUGUAGCAAGGUUAACCGAAUAGGGGAGCCGAAGGGAAACCGAGUCUUAACUGGGCGUUAAGUUGCAGGGUAUAGACCCGAAACCCGGUGAUCUAGCCAUGGGCAGGUUGAAGGUUGGGUAACACUAACUGGAGGACCGAACCGACUAAUGUUGAAAAAUUAGCGGAUGACUUGUGGCUGGGGGUGAAAGGCCAAUCAAACCGGGAGAUAGCUGGUUCUCCCCGAAAGCUAUUUAGGUAGCGCCUCGUGAAUUCAUCUCCGGGGGUAGAGCACUGUUUCGGCAAGGGGGUCAUCCCGACUUACCAACCCGAUGCAAACUGCGAAUACCGGAGAAUGUUAUCACGGGAGACACACGGCGGGUGCUAACGUCCGUCGUGAAGAGGGAAACAACCCAGACCGCCAGCUAAGGUCCCAAAGUCAUGGUUAAGUGGGAAACGAUGUGGGAAGGCCCAGACAGCCAGGAUGUUGGCUUAGAAGCAGCCAUCAUUUAAAGAAAGCGUAAUAGCUCACUGGUCGAGUCGGCCUGCGCGGAAGAUGUAACGGGGCUAAACCAUGCACCGAAGCUGCGGCAGCGACACUGUGUGUUGUUGGGUAGGGGAGCGUUCUGUAAGCCUGCGAAGGUGUGCUGUGAGGCAUGCUGGAGGUAUCAGAAGUGCGAAUGCUGACAUAAGUAACGAUAAAGCGGGUGAAAAGCCCGCUCGCCGGAAGACCAAGGGUUCCUGUCCAACGUUAAUCGGGGCAGGGUGAGUCGACCCCUAAGGCGAGGCCGAAAGGCGUAGUCGAUGGGAAACAGGUUAAUAUUCCUGUACUUGGUGUUACUGCGAAGGGGGGACGGAGAAGGCUAUGUUGGCCGGGCGACGGUUGUCCCGGUUUAAGCGUGUAGGCUGGUUUUCCAGGCAAAUCCGGAAAAUCAAGGCUGAGGCGUGAUGACGAGGCACUACGGUGCUGAAGCAACAAAUGCCCUGCUUCCAGGAAAAGCCUCUAAGCAUCAGGUAACAUCAAAUCGUACCCCAAACCGACACAGGUGGUCAGGUAGAGAAUACCAAGGCGCUUGAGAGAACUCGGGUGAAGGAACUAGGCAAAAUGGUGCCGUAACUUCGGGAGAAGGCACGCUGAUAUGUAGGUGAAGUCCCUCGCGGAUGGAGCUGAAAUCAGUCGAAGAUACCAGCUGGCUGCAACUGUUUAUUAAAAACACAGCACUGUGCAAACACGAAAGUGGACGUAUACGGUGUGACGCCUGCCCGGUGCCGGAAGGUUAAUUGAUGGGGUCAGCGCAAGCGAAGCUCUUGAUCGAAGCCCCGGUAAACGGCGGCCGUAACUAUAACGGUCCUAAGGUAGCGAAAUUCCUUGUCGGGUAAGUUCCGACCUGCACGAAUGGCGUAAUGAUGGCCAGGCUGUCUCCACCCGAGACUCAGUGAAAUUGAACUCGCUGUGAAGAUGCAGUGUACCCGCGGCAAGACGGAAAGACCCCGUGAACCUUUACUAUAGCUUGACACUGAACAUUGAGCCUUGAUGUGUAGGAUAGGUGGGAGGCUUUGAAGUGUGGACGCCAGUCUGCAUGGAGCCGACCUUGAAAUACCACCCUUUAAUGUUUGAUGUUCUAACGUUGACCCGUGAUCCGGGUUGCGGACAGUGUCUGGUGGGUAGUUUGACUGGGGCGGUCUCCUCCUAAAGAGUAACGGAGGAGCACGAAGGUUGGCUAAUCCUGGUCGGACAUCAGGAGGUUAGUGCAAUGGCAUAAGCCAGCUUGACUGCGAGCGUGACGGCGCGAGCAGGUGCGAAAGCAGGUCAUAGUGAUCCGGUGGUUCUGAAUGGAAGGGCCAUCGCUCAACGGAUAAAAGGUACUCCGGGGAUAACAGGCUGAUACCGCCCAAGAGUUCAUAUCGACGGCGGUGUUUGGCACCUCGAUGUCGGCUCAUCACAUCCUGGGGCUGAAGUAGGUCCCAAGGGUAUGGCUGUUCGCCAUUUAAAGUGGUACGCGAGCUGGGUUUAGAACGUCGUGAGACAGUUCGGUCCCUAUCUGCCGUGGGCGCUGGAGAACUGAGGGGGGCUGCUCCUAGUACGAGAGGACCGGAGUGGACGCAUCACUGGUGUUCGGGUUGUCAUGCCAAUGGCACUGCCCGGUAGCUAAAUGCGGAAGAGAUAAGUGCUGAAAGCAUCUAAGCACGAAACUUGCCCCGAGAUGAGUUCUCCCUGACUCCUUGAGAGUCCUGAAGGAACGUUGAAGACGACGACGUUGAUAGGCCGGGUGUGUAAGCGCAGCGAUGCGUUGAGCUAACCGGUACUAAUGAACCGUGAG